CCUACGGGAGGCAGCAGUGAGGGAUAUUGGUCAAUGGGGGAAACCCUGAACCAGCAACGCCGCGUGAGGGAAGACGGUUUUCGGAUUGUAAACCUCUGUCCUCUGUGAAGAUAAUGACGGUACCUGACUAAGAAGCCCCGGCUAACUACGUGCCAGCAGCCGCGGUAAUACGUAGGGGGCAAGCGUUAUCCGGAUUUACUGGGUGUAAAGGGAGCGUAGACGGUCCUGCAAGCCAGAUGUGAAAGCCCGGGGCUCAACCCCGGGACUGCGUUUGGAACUGUAAGGCUAGAGUGUCGGAGAGGCAGGCGGAAUUCCUAGUGUAGCGGUGAAAUGCGUAGAUAUUAGGAGGAACACCAGUGGCGAAGGCGGCCUGCUGGACGAUGACUGACGUUGAGGCUCGAAAGCGUGGGGAGCAAACAGGAUUAGAUACCCCUGUAGUC
rnacentral:rRNA from 1 species